rnacentral:rRNA from 1 species
GCGCAGCAGGCGCGAAUCCUCCGCAAUACACGAAAGUGUGACGGGGUUACCCAAAGUGUCCAAAUUUGGACUGUGGUAGGUGAGUAAUGUCCCCUACUAGAAAGGAGAGGGCAAGGCUGGUGCCAGCCACCGCGGUAAAACCAGCUCUUCAAGUGGUCGGGAUAAUUAUUGGGCUUAAAGUGUCCGUAGCCGGUUUAGUAAGUUCCUGGUAAAAUCGGGUAGCUUAACUAUCUGUAUGCUAGGAAUACUGCUAUACUAGAGGGCGGGAGAGGUCUGAGGUACUACAGGGGUAGGGGUGAAAUCCUGUAAUCCUUGUAGGACCACCAGUGGCGAAGGCGUCAGACUGGAACGCGCCUGACGGUGAGGGACGAAAGCCAGGGGAGCGAACCGGAUUAGA